rnacentral:rRNA from 1 species
ACGGCUCAGUAACGCGUAGUCAACCUAACCUAUGGACGGGAAUAACCUCGGGAAACUGAGAAUAAUGCCCGAUAGAACACUAUACCUGGAAUGGUUUGUGUUCCAAAUGAUUUAUCGCCGUAGGAUGGGACUGCGGCCUAUCAGUUUGUUGGUGAGGUAAUGGCCCACCAAGACUAUUACAGGUACGGGCUCUGAGAGGAGUAGCCCGGAGAUGGGUACUGAGACACGGACCCAGGCCCUAUGGGGCGCAGCAGGCGAGAAAACUUUGCAAUGUGCGAAAGCACGACAAGGUUAAUCCGAGUGGUUUCUGCUAAACGAACCUUUUGUCGGUCCUAGAAACACCGAUGAAUAAGGGGUGGGCAAGUUCUGGUGUCAGCCGCCGCGGUAAAACCAGCACCUCAAGUGGUCAGGAUGAUUAUUGGGCCUAAAGCAUCCGUAGCCGGCUCUGUAAGUUUUCGGUUAAAUCUGUACGCUCAACGUACAGGCUGCCGGGAAUACUGCAGAGCUAGGGAGUGGGAGAGGUAGACGGUACUCGGUAGGAAGGGGUAAAAUCCUUUGAUCUAUUGAUGACCACCUGUGGCGAAGGCGGUCUACCAGAACACGUCCGACGGUGAGGGAUGAAAGCUGGGGGAGCAAACCGGAUUAGAUACCCGGGUAGUCCCAGCUGUAAACUAUGCAAACUCAGUGAUGCAUUGGCUUGUGGCCAAUGCAGUGCUGCAGGGAAGCCGUUAAGUUUGCCGCCUGGGAAGUACGUACGCAAGUAUGAAACUUAAAGGAAUUGGCGGGGGAGCACCACAAGGGG